rnacentral:rRNA from 1 species
UAAAACGUAGGUGGCGAGCGUUAUCCGGAUUUACUGGGCGUAAAGGGUGUGCAGGCGGACUGUUAAGUGGUGCAUGAAAUCUCCGCGCUUAACGUGGAGAGGCUGUGCCAGACUGGCAGUCUGGAGUACGUGAGAGGGUUGUGGAAUUCCGGGUGUAGUGGUGAAAUGCGUAGAGAUCCGGAGGAACACCAGAGGCGAAGGCGGCAACCUGGCACGUUACUGACGCUCAUACACGACAGCAUGGGGAGCGAACGGGAUUAGAAACCCCGGUAGUCCAUGCCGUAAACGAUGAUAGCUGGGCGUCGCGGGGUGCAAACCCUGCGGUGUCGAAGUAAACACGAUAAGCUAUCCGCCUGGGGAGUACGGUCGCAAGGCUA